UGAUGAUGAUGAUGAUGAUGAUGAUGAUGAUGAUGAUGAUGAUGAUGAUAAUGUGGCGUCACAAUCAUCAGUUUCAGAAUCAUCAAACUUU
rnacentral:pre_miRNA from 1 species